rnacentral:rRNA from 1 species
GCGAACGCUGGCGGCAGGCUUAACACAUGCAAGUCGCGCGGGCCCUUCGGGGUCAGCGGCAGACGGGUGAGUAACACGUGGGAACGUACCCUUUGGUUCGGAAUAACGCUGGGAAACUAGCGCUAAUACCGGAUACGCCCUUUUGGGGAAAGGCUUGCUGCCGAAGGAUCGGCCCGCGUCUGAUUAGCUAGUUGGUGGGGUAAUGGCCUACCAAGGCGACGAUCAGUAGCUGGUCUGAGAGGAUGAUCAGCCACACUGGGACUGAGACACGGCCCAGACUCCUACGGGAGGCAGCAGUGGGGAAUAUUGGACAAUGGGCGCAAGCCUGAUCCAGCCAUGCCGCGUGAGUGAUGAAGGCCUUAGGGUUGUAAAGCUCUUUUGUCCGGGACGAUAAUGACGGUACCGGAAGAAUAAGCCCCGGCUAACUUCGUG